CACCAUCGCCCCCACCACCAUCAGCAGCACCAUGACGGCCACCGCCCACACCACCGUCCUCAUCACGUCACCACCGUCACCGCCGUCACCACCGCUGCAUCAUCACCAUCACCUCCACUUCUCCACCCUCACCACCACCACCUUCACGUCACCAUCACCACCCCACCUCCACCCCUCACCACCACCGCCCACACCACCGUCCUCAUCACGUCACCACCGUCACCAUUGUCCCAUAGUCAUUGUCGUAAUCCUUCCUUUUCUGUAAAAGGAUUCUCAAAUGUCUUUCUCCAUUUCUUUGCUCUAGUGAGCAGUCCCCUCUUGGCAAAUGUAAGCUCCUAUCAAGGGCUGUUCUUUUUCAGAUUGCACUUUCUCUUUGCCCUCAGAACAUGCUCUGUGGUGAAGAGAGCUGGUUAUUGACCCUCUCAAGGCUACCAUGGUGACACCAGAGGUUUCAAGGACUCCAGAAGGGUCCGCCAGGGCAGAGUUGUGACUAAGGGCCCAGGUCUUUUGACCUAUACCCCAGAGGUCAUGGUGGCUCACAUCAAGGUCAUGGUUCCUUGCUCUGGGUCCCUUAAGUAGAAAUGUCCACCCGACAGAGCCCCAUCUUGUGGGAGGGUGCCCAGGGCCAGCGCAGCCUCCACGCCCCCAUCAUCCCUGCGCAGGUCCAGCAGGUUUGCCCCCUCCCCUGUCCCCUAAUCUGCUCCCACCACCUCCCAUAGGUGAUCACAUGUGCCAUGAAAGAAGAGAAGCCGUCCCAGCUGGACAUGGGGGAUCUGUCAGAGGACGAGACCGGCUGGGUGUGCUGCAUCCCCUACUCCACCAGAAAGAAAGCCAAGGAGAGCGCGUAGCUGCGAGAGAAGGUACAGGGUCUCCACUUCAGUCUCCUGGGGUCGGCCAGACCCGGGAGGGGCCCAGAGAGACACCGCACGAACCUCUCUCCCCACCCCAUGUGGGGAUGGAUUUGGCUACACCAGACAUAGCCUGGCAGCUGACUUUCUGCCCCAGGCACUGUUUCAGAGGCUCUGUGACCACCACACGUGACCCCCACGGCUCGGAAGCGAUGACGCCAUCUCUUAAAAAGACCCAAUAAAGAGGGAUGGAGGAUGUACUCCCUCUCGAGGCCGAGGGCUGUCCCUUCUUUUCAUACCUCUCAUCCCACGAAAUGUAAAUUAGGGAAGGGAGGCAGCUCAGGACCGGCCUGUGUGCACGUGCACACAUAGCACACGUGACGCGCGGUCCACAUGCCCAUGCACGGCCACACAGGAGCAUGCAGGAGGACAUGGGCAGGGGCCAAGCAGCAUCUCUGAGACCGGAGGUCAGAGGACACAGGUGAAACCCUCGAAGGCCACCAUGGGCAUCAGCUCAGUUCUCCCCCCGCGGCCACCACUGCCCAAAGGGAGAACCGGCCCAAGAAGCUGGCCGGGGGCGGGGUGCUGCCCAGCUGUCGGAACCGAGCAUAGACGAGGCAACUCUGCUGACCACUCAUGGUGUGCUGGGCACAGGACUGACCCCAUGGCCCCCCAGAAUCUGGGUCUGCUGCUUGUCCCCUGGAGACGGAAGCAUCACGGUAGUGACAGGGAUGGAGUAGACACAGGUAGCUGUCGAAGUCCCCAUAAGGGACCACAGGUGAGAGGGAAACCCAGGGGAGGCUGGGAGAUCACUGUAAGUUAAUAACUGCUCAAGAAAGCCAUCAGAACAAGGCAGGCUGCUUGACUGGUGGAAGUUCGAGAAUUGCCUCAGGUCUUUGGGUGCGGGAUGGGGUGAGGUCUGCAUUCAGGUUCAGAAGAGAAAGGAAGAGGCAGGCUUUCCCCACCCCCACUCCCCUUGGAGGAUAAAACUGUAGCCCACCUAAUGCUUGGGUAGAGCCUCCUUGCCUGCCCGCUUGCAUCUCUCACCAGCGUCCUAUCUUAAUAAAUCUAUUUCUUGCCUAUCCCUUUGUCUCUCGCUGAGUUCCUUCUGCACGGAGGCAUAAAGAACCUGAACUUCAGUGAGUCCAGACACCAGGGGAGUGAGUGUAAUUUAAAACCAUGGGUUCAAGUCCCAAUCUGGCUUUAGGGUGCGUUUGAGUCCCGGUCUGGGUUCAGGGCAUUGGUGCUGUCAGUUUCA
rnacentral:lncRNA from 1 species